rnacentral:rRNA from 1 species
AUACGUAGGGGGCGAGCGUUGUCCGGAAUGAUUGGGCGUAAAGGGCGCGUAGGCGGCCCGGUAAGUCUGGAGUGAAAGUCCUGUUUUUAAGAUGGGAAUUGCUUUGGAUACUGUCGGGCUUGAGUGCAGGAGAGGUAAGUGGAAUUCCCAGUGUAGCGGUGAAAUGCGUAGAGAUUGGGAGGAACACCAGUGGCGAAGGCGACUUACUGGACUGUAACUGACGCUGAGGCGCGAAAGUGUGGGGAGCAAACAGGAUUAGAUACCCGGGUAGUCCACACUGUAAACGAUGAAUGCUAGGUGUAGGGGGUAUCGACCCCUUCUGUGCCGCAGUCAACACAAUAAGCAUUCCGCCUGGGGAGUACGGCCGCAAGGUUGAAACUCAAAGGAAUUGGCGGGG